CCUACGGGCGGCAGCAGUGGGGAAUAUUGGACAAUGGGCGAAAGCCUGAUCCAGCCAUGCCGCGUGUGUGAAGAAGGCCUUCGGGUUGUAAAGCACUUUCAGUGGGGAAGAAAGCCUUGGGGCUAAUACCCUCGAGGAAGGACAUCACCCACAGAAGAAGCACCGGCUAACUCCGUGCCAGCAGCCGCGGUAAUACGGAGGGUGCGAGCGCUAAUCGGAAUUACUGGGCGUAAAGCGCGCGUAGGCGGUCUGAUAAGCCGGUUGUGAAAGCCCCGGGCUCAACCUGGGAACGGCAUCCGGAACUGUCAGGCUAGAGUGCAGGAGAGGAAGGUAGAAUUCCCGGUGUAGCGGUGAAAUGCGUAGAGAUCGGGAGGAAUACCAGUGGCGAAGGCGGCCUUCUGGACUGACACUGACGCUGAGGUGCGAAAGCGUGGGUAGCAAACAGGAUUAGAUACCCGGGUAGUC
rnacentral:rRNA from 1 species